CAAAUCGACAAGGAGAAGCCGCAAUUAAAGGAGGCAUCAUGUUGACGUCUGCAGAUUAAAUACCAGAAGACAAUGGAGUGAUGUUCGUACAACAGAGAGAACUUAGGUUUUCAUGUGCAAAAGAAACAGAACACUCAGAUUGGCAGGGACUUGGAAAAUGCACCAUGCGUGUAACCAUGUGGAAACAUCUCCUCAAGAGACAUGCUUCUUCCAAAUAAGAAAUGAAUGAAUUGAAGAAAUCGGCCUUAAGAGACCUAAGGAAAAAUUCAGGACAGAUUCAAACUUCAAGCAUCAGGAAAAUCCAUAGCAAGUUUAUCCAGUGAUUAAUAGCAAUUUAAUAUAAUGAGAAAAACAGCCAAUUAUAUUUGAGUUUAUAUUUUUUACAAAAUACCUAUGAAAAUUGUGUAGAGCUUAAAUGUUAUAUUUAUACUAAUAUUUAUAUUAUAUUACCUUAAUAGAAUUUUUAUAGGAAAAAAGCAUAAUAAAAUGACAUAGAUGCCAUAAUCUUUUGUUAGUCAAAUUAUAAAAAUUUAGUCAACCUUAAAUGACACCUUGACCAAACUACAGAAAUCGUAUCUGAGAAAAAAGCCCUCCUUUGAAAAUAUUCCUUUACUUUGCAGGUACAACUUUCUAAAUCUUUUCCCCGUAUGUUAUUGUCUGCACUAAAAUACCAUCAGAAAGGGGUUUAAGGAGGCAGCGCAGAGGGAAGAACGGAGGUGACUCAGGGACAGUAACCCCAGGCUAAGACGUAAGUGGUUCACAACUAUGCCCUCUUCUUUCAUAUCCCUUAAGAUGCCUUUUGGUACUUUAUCCUUCAAGGCUCUCCUUGAUGUUGGAAGAGAGAAAGGGCUGGGGUAGAACAUAGAAAAGAUAGAAGUCUUUCCAAACCCUCCCCGUUAGCCCUUGCAGGUACUGUGGAGACUGGGGUGCAGCAGGGGCUAACUGGGGGAAGACUCUUCGGUGAAACGCCCUUCUGUGGCGCAGCCUGCUGGGGGGCACUUCUCUGCAGAGCCAUAACCCCAUGUUGGCCACACCCUCAGAUUCUGGAAUCAACAUUUUAAGUUAAUUAAUUUACACAGAGACGUACAUAAAGACGUUUAUAAUGGGGCUAUUUGUACUGAUACACUUAUGGUAAACUUCACAAAUGUCCGAUAGUGCCUCCAUUUUUGUAAAACACAUUUCUAAAGUGUUUAUGCGUUGAAAAGAGCUGGGAAGACAGACAUGUUACUAACGGCUGCCUCAGGGUAGCAGAAUCACGGGGCAAUUCUUUGUAGCUAUCCGACUGUUCUACACUGCGAACGAAUUACUCCUGUAGUGAAAAUGGGGGGGGGGGGUGCAGGGGGAGUCCCCUCACUAAGAAGAAACAAGGCAGCUAACUUUUUCUUUGUUUUUUCCUUUGUUUUUAAGACAUCUGAGCUAUCUUCAUUCAUCCUCCUAAACCUCUUCUAAAUUCU